GUUGUAUGGUUAAGUGACUAAGCGUACAUGGUGGAUGCCUUGGCAGUCAGAGGCGAUGAAGGACGUACUAACCUGCGAUAAGCCGUGAGCAGUCGGUAAGAGACAUUACGACUCACGGAUUUCCGAAUGGGGAAACCCACUUAGCAUAAGCUAGGUAUCGCUACGUGAAUACAUAGCGUAGCGAGGCGAACCGGGAGAACUGAAACAUCUAAGUACCCCGAGGAAAAGAAAUCAACCGAGAUUCCCUCAGUAGCGGCGAGCGAACGGGGAUUAGCCCUUAAGCAUCUUGGAAGUUAGUGGAACGGUCCUGGAAAGGCCGGCGAUACAGGGUGAUAGCCCCGUACACGAAAACAACCUUGAUGUGAAAUCGAGUAGGGCGGGACACGUGACAUCCUGUCUGAAUAUGGGGGGACCAUCCUCCAAGGCUAAAUACUCCUGACUGACCGAUAGUGAACCAGUACCGUGAGGGAAAGGCGAAAAGAACCCCUGUGAGGGGAGUGAAAUAGAACCUGAAACCGUGUACGUACAAGCAGUGGGAGCCCUUCGGGGUGACUGCGUACCUUUUGUAUAAUGGGUCAGCGACUUACAUUUUGUAGCGAGGUUAACCGUAUAGGGGAGCCGUAGGGAAACCGAGUCUUAACUGGGCGUCUAGUUGCAAGGUGUAGACCCGAAACCGGGUGAUCUAGCCAUGGGCAGGUUGAAGGUUGAGUAACAUCAACUGGAGGACCGAACCCACUAACGUUGCAAAGUUAGGGGAUGACCUGUGGCUGGGGGUGAAAGGCCAAUCAAACUCGGAGAUAGCUGGUUCUCCCCGAAAGCUAUUUAGGUAGCGCCUCGGACGAAUACUACUGGGGGUAGAGCACUGUUUGGGCUAGGGGGUCAUCCCGACUUACCAACCCCAUGCAAACUCCGAAUACCAGUAAGUAAUAUCCGGGAGACACACGGCGGGUGCUAACGUCCGUCGUGAAGAGGGAAACAACCCAGACCGCCGGCUAAGGUCCCAAAGUUCUGGUUAAGUGGGAAACGAUGUGGGAAGGCUCAGACAGCUAGGAUGUUGGCUUAGAAGCAGCCAUCAUUUAAAGAAAGCGUAAUAGCUCACUAGUCGAGUCGGCCUGCGCGGAAGAUGUAACGGGGCUCAAACCAGGCACCGAAGCCGCGGAUUCACACUAAGUGUGAGUGGUAGGGGAGCGUUCUGUAAGUCUGCGAAGGUGUAUCGAGAGGUAUGCUGGAGAUAUCAGAAGUGCGAAUGCUGACGUAAGUAACGAUAAAGGGGGUGAAAAGCCUCCUCGCCGGAAGACCAAGGGUUCCUGUCCAACGUUAAUCGGGGCAGGGUGAGUCGACCCCUAAGGCGAGGCCGAAAGGCGUAGUCGAUGGGAAGCAGGUUAAUAUUCCUGCACGACUUGUAAUUGCGAUGGGGGGACGGAGAAGGCUAGGUGGGCCAGGCGACGGUUGUCCUGGUGAAAGUGCGUAGGUGGUGUUUCUAGGCAAAUCCGGAGACACAACACUGAGACACGAGACGAACACACUACGGUGUGGAAGCCAUUGAUGCCCUGCUUCCAGGAAAAGCCUCUAAGCUUCAGAUUACAAGUCAUCGUACCCCAAACCGACACAGGUGGUCGGGUAGAGAAUACCAAGGCGCUUGAGAGAACUCGGGUGAAGGAACUAGGCAAAAUAGAACCGUAACUUCGGGAGAAGGUUCGCUCUUGACAGUGAAGUCCCUUGCGGAUGGAGCAGUUGGGAGUCGCAGUGACCAGAUGGCUGGGACUGUUUAUCAAAAACACAGCACUCUGCAAACACGAAAGUGGACGUAUAGGGUGUGACACCUGCCCGGUGCCGGAAGGUUAAUUGAUGGGGUUAGCGCAAGCGAAGCUCUUGAUCGAAGCCCCGGUAAACGGCGGCCGUAACUAUAACGGUCCUAAGGUAGCGAAAUUCCUUGUCGGGUAAGUUCCGACCUGCACGAAUGGUGUAACCAUGGCCAUGCUGUCUCCACCCGAGACUCAGUGAAAUCGAAUUCGCCGUGAAGAUGCGGUGUACCCGCGGCUAGACGGAAAGACCCCGUGAACCUUUACUACAGCUUGGCACUGAACAUUGAACCUACAUGUGUAGGAUAGGUGGGAGGCUUUGAAGGCGUGACGCCAGUUGCGCUGGAGCCGUCCUUGAAAUACCACCCUUGUAUGUUUGAUGUUCUAACGCAGGCCCCUGAAUCGGGGUCGCGGACAGUGCCUGGUGGGUAGUUUGACUGGGGCGGUCUCCUCCCAAAGAGUAACGGAGGAGCACGAAGGUUGGCUAAUCCUGGUCGGACAUCAGGAGGUUAGUGCAAUGGCAUAAGCCAGCUUAACUGCGAGACGGACAGGUCGAGCAGGUACGAAAGUAGGUCAUAGUGAUCCGGUGGUUCUGAAUGGAAGGGCCAUCGCUCAACGGAUAAAAGGUACUCCGGGGAUAACAGGCUGAUACCGCCCAAGAGUUCAUAUCGACGGCGGUGUUUGGCACCUCGAUGUCGGCUCAUCACAUCCUGGGGCUGAAGUCGGUCCCAAGGGUAUGGCUGUUCGCCAUUUAAAGUGGUACGCGAGCUGGGUUCAGAACGUCGUGAGACAGUUCGGUCCCUAUCUGCCGUGGGCGUUGGAUGAUUGAAGGGAGUUGCUCCUAGUACGAGAGGACCGGAGUGAACGAACCUCUGGUGUUCGGGUUGUCACGCCAGUGGCACUGCCCGGUAGCUAAGUUCGGAAUCGAUAACCGCUGAAAGCAUCUAAGCGGGAAGCGAGCCCUGAGAUGAGUCAUCCCUGACCCCUUGAGGGUCCUAAAGGGCCGUUGGAGACCACAACGUUGAUAGGUGGGGUGUGUAAGCGCGGCGACGUGUUGAGCUAACCCAUACUAAUUACCCGUGAGGCUUAACCAUACAACACCCAAGAAGUGUUCU
rnacentral:rRNA from 1 species